rnacentral:pre_miRNA from 1 species
GGGACAAGAAGGGACGGACAAACACGAAGUCUCAAAAAAAAAAAAAAAUGAGACUUUGUGUUUGUCCGUCCCUUCUUGUCCCAGU